UACGGAGGGCGCAAGCGUUGUUCGGAAUCACUGGGCGUAAAGCGCGUGCAGGCGGCUUGGCAAGUCGGGUGUGAAAGCCCGGGGCCCAACCCCGGAACGGCAUCCGAAACUGCCUCGCUCGAGUCCCGGAGAGGGUGGCGGAAUUUCCGGUGUAGAGGUGAAAUUCGUAGAUAUCGGAAGGAACACCAGUGGCGAAGGCGGCUCACUGGUCCGGUACUGACGCUGAGGUGCGAAAGCGUGGGGAGCAAACAGG
rnacentral:rRNA from 1 species